AAUAGAGAAGUAAUAUUACAUUUAGUUUCGGCCUAAAUUUUUAAGAAAACAGAUUUUCUUCCUAUUU
rnacentral:tRNA from 1 species